CGGAGGGUGCAAGCGUUAUCCGGAUUUACUGGGUUUAAAGGGUGUGUAGGCGGACUAUUAAGUCAGCGGUGAAAUCUCCGGGCUCAACCCGGAAACUGCCAUUGACACUAUUAGUCUUGAAUAUUGUUGAGGUGGGCGGAACGGGUCAUGUAGCGGUGAAAUGCAUAGAUAUGACCCGGAACACCGAUUGCGAAGGCAGCCCACUAAGCAAUUAUUGACGCUGAGGCACGAAAGCGUGGGGAUCAAACAGGAUUAGAUACCCUGGUAGUCCACGCCCUAAACGAUGAUUACUCGACGUUGGCGAUACACUGAUCAGCGUCCAAGCGAAAGCAUUAAGUAAUCCACCUGGGAAGUACGUUCGCAAGAAUG
rnacentral:rRNA from 1 species